GCUUCCUCUGGGUGUUGUGGGACUGGCUGCAGAAUUUGUGCCCAAGGUCUGCUCAGGGCAUGGGCCCAAACAGACCAGAAGCAACCUGUGCCCUGCAAUGUAUUUCUUAACAUUGGAAACACAGGGAACGAGGAGCCUGAGAGCCCUGAAGCUACAAGGGUUGGUGUGCUUCAGCUGAGAGAAAUGAAGACCUGAGGACCACUUACUCACACCCAUGAACAACUGAGAAGAGCUCACUGACUGAACAAACCAGGAGAAGAAUGAAGAGCCUGAGUCUCGAGUCUGUCCUCUGUGGCUUUUAAUGAGACAGCAUUUCUCUGCACAGCCCUGGCUGUCCUGGAAUUUACACUGUAGACCAGAGGCUGACCUCGAAUUCACAGAGGUCCAACUGCCUCUGUCUCCCAAGUGCUGGGAUUAAAGGCCUGGACUACAACUGCCCAGCUUCUGACACACUUUUAACUAACCAGCAAUGAGCAACUGGAGGAUUGUUUGCUAAAAGGUUAGCAUUUGGAUCUUCCCAUCAGCCUCUCUUGUCAAUCUGCUUCCUUUUCAAGCUCCCUCAAUCCCUACCUAGCCUAGUUGGGAGCUCUGUCCAUCAGGCUUUCUGAUUCUCAAUGUUUGGAGUGUGUUCAAACCUCAGAGUCCAUAGCAACCUUCUCUACAGGAGACACCAGCACCUGUACCUCCCAGGCAAAGUACAGCGUUUGGCCCUGUCCACAGCUCAUUUCCUUACCCUGCAGUUGGUCAGAGUCAGCCGCAGUCUGAAAGCACUGCAUGCAAAUUACAGAAAUAAGCACUUCAUAAGCUCUCAGCGGGAGACUCCAGGUCGUGGUGAGGUCGCACACUGCUCCACUCUGUCCCACCCAGGGUGUAAACUGUACUUUCUCCUCUGUGAGUGCUCUGUACUCUGCCCACUGGUCCCUUGGGAGCCUUGAAGAUCAGAACCCGGGAAAAAUAACAUGAGCAAGAGAACCUCAUUUUUUAAAGGAUGAACAGGUUUUUAUAAGAGGUGGAAGUGACUGCCUCCAAAAGUGGAUAGUCUAUAAAUUAUAAUCCUCAUUUUACUGAAGAGUGGUCCCAAAGCACAAGGCCAAUGGCACUGAUGACUUUACAGGAAGCAAUAUAUUACUCUAAUUAUUUAUU